GACGAACGCUGGCGGCGUGCCUAACACAUGCAAGUCGAACGAGGUCCAGGGGAGCUUGCUCCCUGACGACCUAGUGGCGAACGGGUGAGUAACACGUGAGAAACCUGCCUCGGAGUGGGGAAUAACUCGGGGAAACUCGAGCUAAUACCGCGUACCUUCACAUGAUCGCAUGGUCGAGUGAAGAAAGAAUUUCGCUCUGAGAGGGUCUCGCGGCCUAUCAGCUUGUUGGUGGGGUAACGGCCUACCAAGGCAACGACGGGUAGCUGGUUUGAGAGAACGAUCAGCCACACUGGGACUGAGACACGGCCCAGACUCCGACGGGAGGCAGCAGUGGGGAAUCGUGCGCAAUGGGCGAAAGCCUGACGCAGCAACGCCGCGUGCGGGAUGACGGCCUUCGUGGUUGUAAACCGCUUUCAGCAGGGACGAAAAUGACGGUACCUGCAGAAGAAGCCCCGGCUAACUACGUGCCAGCAGCCGCAGUAA
rnacentral:rRNA from 1 species